AGCCCAGUCCUUAGCAGAUGCUUGAUGGACGACUGUUGCAUGAGAGACUGAAGCACACCAGUCUUAAGGGUGGUUACGAGGACGGACUGAGGAACACAGCAAUGGGCUCAGAGAUGGUCAUGAUCCAAAGUCAACCAGAGGCAUUUCCGAUUCCUGAUGGCCUCAAGGCUGAGCAGAUGUAAGAGCUGGAACUCCUGCAGCCAUUUCUAAACCAGGAGGAAAGCGAAGCCAUCAGAGCACUCUGCAGCAUUUCUCAGCUGGAGUUUGUUUGUAUCUGGGUGCAAAUGUGUGACUCGAUUUGGACAAUGGAACAGCAAUUAGGGUGUUUCAAGCCAAGGCUUGAAAAACGCUUGUACACUGGGGCUUGUUCGCCAUUUCCUUCUGCUUUGGAGCCCAGCCUCUGGCGAAGAAGUCCAGCUAGCCUGCUGGAUGAUGGGAGACAUGAGAACCACUUGUCACUGUCACUCUGGCCAAUAGCUAACCAACUGCCAGAUCUGUGAGUGGAGCUGUCCUUGGUCAUCCAGCUACCAGCUGACUACAGACACAUGAAGACGCUCAGCAGGCCCACCCAGACCACAGGAACUUUGCAGCUGACGCACAGACUCAUGCACAAAAUGAAAGGUUAGUGUUGAAGCCACUAAGUUUUGGGGAAGUUAACUGAUUCAAGGAAGCUGAAGAGUAUGGGUGGUGGCACCUAACCACCAGAGAUAAAGUGGGCAUCUGGGCCAGAGCAAUAAUCAGGAUGGCUUGACCCCUGUGGGGUCAGAUUUCUGUAGUCUUUGGUGGUGGCUCAUUGAGCAUAGUGUCUCUGAAUUAAAAUAUAUGGACAGCUUAGUAAAGUCUUAUUUGAUCGACAUGUCUCACAUUUCAAAAUGUAUUUUCCUUUCUGUUUUUCAACUAUUUUCUAAUUUUCUUUGUAAUUUUUUUCUUUGACACCUGGGUAAUUUAGAAGUAUGUUGUUAGUUAUGACUUCUAAUUUAAUUCUAUUGUGGUCACAGAAAAUAUAUGAACUUUUUAAAUGUAUGAAGAUGUAUUUUCAUGCAAAAUACCAUCUGUUUUUGUAAAUGUUUCAGGUGUACUUGAAAAAAAUGUUUUCAGGUGUUGGGUGGGAUGUUUCAUAAACAUUAAUUAGGUCAAGUUUUUAAUGUUCAAGUCUCCUAAAUCUGGGGUGGCAAACUUUUUCUGUAAAAAAAACAGAUAGUAAUGUUUUUGGCCUUGCAGGCCAUAUUAUCUCUGUUGCAACUACUCCACUCCACCAUUGUAAUAUGAAAGCCGUCAUCAACAGUAUGCAAAUAGAUGUGUAGCUGUAUUCUGUUGAAACUUUAUUUAAAAACAAGGCUAAUCUCUUGGCUGAUCCCUGCUCUCUAUUGUUACUGUCUACUUUGUUCUGCCAGUUAUUGAGAGAGGUAUGUUGAAAUCUCCAGCCAUAAUCAUCAUGGGUUUGUCUAUUUCUCCUCCAGCACAUAUCAGUUUUACUUUAUAUAUUUGCAGCUGUGAUAUUAGGUGCAUUAACACUUAGGAUUUUUAUGUUUUCUUGAUCAAUUAACUCCUUUAUCAUUAUGAAAUGCUCCUUUUUAUUCCUGGUAAUAGUUCUCAUUCUAAAAUCCACUUUAUGUGAUAUUAGUCUAGCCACCAAGCUUUUUUUUUUAAAGUAGCUUCAUGAUAAAAGUAUUUUUCCAUUCUUUUAUAUUUCAUCUACCUGUAGCCUUUAUAUUUAAAGUGGGUUUCUUUUGGACAACAUAGGCCUUGCUUUUUUAUACAAUCCAACAAUCUUUGCUUUUUAAUUGUAAUGUUAGACCAUUUACAUUUAAUGUGCUUACUGGUAUGGCUGAAUUUAAAUCUAACAUAUUUUAGUUGAUUUUUAUCUGUCCCCUCUGUUCUUUGCUCACUUUCUUUCUUUUCCUGCCUUCUUUUUCUUCUGCACUUCUGAUAUGCUGUUAAUCCAGUCCAGGGUAUUUUUCAUUUAUAGAGGUCUGAUUUUGGUCUUUUUUAUACCUUCGGUUUCUAUCUUCAUGAUGCUCAUUUUCCUCUCCCUUCUUGAAUAUAUUGAGUGUAUUUAUAACAGUUGUCUUUAAUGCCACUGUCAUCAUUCUGUCAUCUGUGUUUUCUCUGAGACUAUUUCUACUAAUAAAUUUUUCUCCUUGCAUUUUCCUUCUUCUUUGCAUGCCUGGUAAUUUUUUAUUAGAUGCCAGACAUUGUAAAUGUUGUGUUCUUGGGUGCUGGAUUUUUGUUUGCUUGUUUUGUAUUUCUUACAUAUUUUGGGGGCUUUGUUCUGUGAUAAAAUUUGGCUCUUUUGAAGCCUACUUUUAAGCUUUGUUAGGUCAAGAACAGCCUUUGGGCUAAGGCUAAUUUGGCUCCAUUGCAGAGUUUGGAGAACUUCCCACUCUGGCUGGUGGAAACACAAACUGUAUAGCUCUGUAGGAUUAGGAGGAAAAGAAUGGUCUGAAUAGAAGGACAAAAUGGUGUUGCACUUAUCUAGUGCUGUGUAAAAAUCAUCCCAAAAGAUAGUGAUGUAGAACAACUGUUCUAUUAUGCUCAGAUACUGUAGGUAAUACAUUUGCCUUUGGAAAAGGCACAGUAGGUGUUUUCUGCUCCUGGAUAUCUGGGCCCUCAAGAGGCAUGACUUGAAUGGUUGGGGGGUCACUCUGACAGCUGGAGGGGUGGAAUAGUUGGGGUUGGGGGCUCCAUUUCCAAGUUGGCUUUUUCAUCCAUGUGUCUUGCACCUGGGCUGGGCCGACUGAAAGAUGGGUUCAGGUAUGAUUGGCUACUAGAGCACCUAAAUACGGUCUUUCUGGAAUGUCAGUUAGUGGACCUCUCAGGAUGAUUGGACUUCUUACAUGGUGGCUUGGCUCUGGGAUCAAGCAUUCCAGCAGGAAAACAGAAAGCUGUAUGACCAUUUAUGACUGAGUUUUAAAGGUUACAUAGCAUCGUUUCCACCAUACUCUAUUAAUAGAACUAAUUAGCAGCUUGCCCACACUUAUGUGGAAAGGAUCAUAGGGAGAG